rnacentral:rRNA from 1 species
UAGGGAAUCUUCCACAAUGGACGCAAGUCUGAUGGAGCAACGCCGCGUGAGUGAAGAAGGUUUUCGGCACGUAAAGCUCUGUUGUUGGUGAAGAAGGAUAGAGGUAGUAACUGGCCUUUAUUUGACGGUAAUCAACCAGAAAGUCACGGCUAACUACGUGCCAGCAGCCGCGGUAAUACGUAGGUGGCAAGCGUUGUCCGGAUUUAUUGGGCGUAAAGCGAGCGCAGGCGGAAGAAUAAGUCUGAUGUGAAAGCCCUCGGCUUAACCGAGGAAUUGCAUCGGAAACUGUUUUCUUGAGUGCAGAAGAGGAGAGUAGAACUCCAUGUGUAGCGGUGGAAUGCGUAGAUAUAUGGAAGAAUACCAGUGGCGAAGGCGGCUCUCUGGUCUGCAACUGACGCUGAGGCUCGAAAGCAUGGGUAGCGAACAGGAUUAGAUACCCUGGUAGUCCA